UGCAGCUCCUCAUCAACAAGCUGCCUUCUGUCCCCAGGCCCUCUGCAGGCGCCUGCACCCACACGCUCAGUGGGACGCUGUCAUCACGAGCCGCUCAUUCAGCAAGUCCCAUCAGCUCCGUCAGCCUGCGGUGACCUCAUGAGGCUCAACAGUUCAAACUGCUCCCCACGGCUGGUGUUCAACAGCUUCAGCAGCACCUGUCACUCUGUCAGCGAGGUUAGGGUGGAAACUAAAUCCACAUCAGCCUCAUCUGGAGAACAAGCUGGAGAAAUCUGCUGAUUAUCAGCGACAGAUCAAGACUGACCAACUGAGACGCACAACGAAUUCCACCAUGUCUGUACAAGCGGCUCUGCUUGUGCUGUCAGUGGUCUCCCAGUGUUGGACCGCUCCACAGGUGACAGCAACCGGAUUCUGUUGGUUCUAAUUCCAUCCUCAGAGGUGAGACCUAUGUAAAAAUAAAACACUGGUUUCUGUUUGUUAUUCCAGAGGAGAAACUGGACCCCUCAGGCCAUGUUAUACCUUAAAGGAGCACGUAAGAGCACGCUGACAUCGACCUGUCGCAGGUCAGAGUGAGAGUGAACGUGACUGAGUGUUGAUCUGUUGCAGAGGGACACGGCUCAGUGUUGGAGCGCAGCAGCAGAGAGGAGGGUCUACAGUCAGAGAAUUACAACCAGAUCAGGGAUGGACUGAGAUUGUCUUCGGCUUUCUUUCUUCUUUUUGAGCUCCUGCAGCAAGCUGAGGAAGAAGGUGGAGGCAGAAACUAUAGAGCUGAAUGAAAACCAUUGGUGAACACCAACAGAAACUAUGAACACCUUUAUUUUUUCCAUGCGAAAUUAUUAACUUUUCUUUUUUGUAUUUGUUGUGUUGUCUGACUGCAUCCUGUUGCCGUUUAAGUUUCUUUAUGGAAAAAAAAAUCAGUAAGCAACUGUACGUUUUA